rnacentral:rRNA from 1 species
CGCGACCCCAGGUCAGGCGGGACUACCCGCUGAAUUUAAGCAUAUCAAUAA